GGGGGUGGGUAGAUUUUCAGUUUGCUCGAUAUUUUUUUUCCGCCUCCUGAAACUGUUCGAUUUUUUUUUGUCAGUCAGAGGACUUGCACGAUAUUUUUUUGUAUGCAUGUAUAUACAUAAUUUUUUACUUUUUUGUUUUUACAUUUUUUGGUAUAUAAUAGGUAAUUGGACAAGUACUGGUGUAAGACAUUGUGUAGCCUAAAUAAUGAGAGGACCAGUAUUCAAAAUAUGGUUGUUCUUCAUUUCUUUACUCCGACUCCUUUGAUGAACAUGUACGUAAAAAACUAGGGAAACUACGAUUAUAUAUAGAAACUAAAGUAGGUGAAAUUUUUAUGGGACUCCAUAAAAGGUGAGGAUAUAAGAGUGAGAGAUUGAGUAGGAAACUAAGGCAACCCUACACAUGUUUCGACCUAACAGUCUUCUUCAGCAGGGUUUUUUAAAGGGGGGGGGGGUAUAUAGAAUUUGCAGAGGAGAAGAAAGGAGAGUUUAGGAGUUCGGAAAAUAAUGUGAACUUGGAUCCUCUACGUAGCAAAAUCCACACCAGAACUAGCUAUUGGUCAUAUCGUAUCAUUCAUUUACUAAUCUCUGUUUUGGUUUUGUUAUAUAUGUACAUGUUUUAGUUAUUAUUGUAUAUUUAUACAUUUUAAACAAAAAUCAAACCCUGCACGGUGUUAUCAUUAUUUAUCAUUUAUCCCUGUCUUAUAAGCUCUUACACCACUAACACCAUAUUUGGAUGCAAUCACCUACAGUCACAUGAUCACCCUUACCAUCACAAUCAUUCAAACUCACUAUACCAUUGAGUAAGUUAACCCUUAAUUGAAGGACCUGCAAAUUUGCUUCACUUCACCAAUACGAACGAUGAACAAUAAAGUGCGUAGUGUUGGAAUGUCCCGC
rnacentral:lncRNA from 1 species